rnacentral:rRNA from 1 species
AGUGAACGCUGGCGGUAGGCCUAACACAUGCCAGCCGAACGGCAGCACAGUAAGAGCUUGCUCUUACGGGUGGCGAGUGGCGGACGGGUGAGGAAUACAUCGGAAUCUACUUUUUCGUGGGGGAUAACGUAGGGAAACUUACGCUAAUACCGCAUACGACCUACGGGUGAAAGCAGGGGAUCUUCGGACCUUGCGCGAUUGAAUGAGCCGAUGUCGGAUUAGCUAGUUGGCGGGGUAAAGGCCCACCAAGGCGACGAUCCGUAGCUGGUCUGAGAGGAUGAUCAGCCACACUGGAACUGAGACACGGUCCAGACUCCUACGGGAGGCAGCAGUGGGGAAUAUUGGACAAUGGGCGCAAGCCUGAUCCAGCCAUACCGCGUGGGUGAAGAAGGCCUUCGGGUUGUAAAGCCCUUUUGUUGGGAAAGAAAAGCAGCAGGUUAAUACCCCGCUGUUCUGACGGUACCCAAAGAAUAAGCACCGGCUAACCUCGUG